GCAUAUAUGAAAGCAAAACACACACUUAUUUUUUUGUGGCAUCACUUCAGAGCAGAAUCUUCACCGCCAAUGCUUCGUCCCUCUCUCAUGUCACUUUACCAAUAAUUCCUUCCUCCUUCAUAUCACUAUAUCACUUCUUUAACAAUAAUUUCAUACACCUGUAUUUUAAUUAAUUUCACUAUCUUCUUCUACUCCAAUUCUAUUACACCCUAUCAAGAAUGCUCUCUUUUUGUUGGUAUUAUUCCAAAACUUCAUUGAAGUAGCCUAAGCUUGAAAAAGGGAGAAAUAACCUUUAAUUCAAGUAUUACCAAUUAUUAAGCUAUUAAGAUACUCAAAGGAAUCGCUCUCCUUGCUUGUUGGAAUCUGUGGAGUAGAAAUUCCUCUCUUGGAUUUUAGUCUGCUCUAUGACAGAAACUGCAGCUAACGGCAGUAAGCGCUAGACUUGGUGCACCUUGUCAAGUAUAUAUUUGCGUUUUCAGGACCAUAUGGGAUGAAAUGGUUCCUGUCUGUUUCAUGUCCACAAAAUUAGUGGAAUAUGUCUGUUUCAGAACUCACACGAAGGAAAACAACCCAAGUAUAUGGGCAUUGAUCCUAAUCCAACUUCAUCAUUUCCGCUCUAGUUUUGUUUGUGUUGGUGAGCCCUUUACUGUUUAAGGCUUGGUAUUUUGUGUAAAUAGUUUUAAAGCUCUUUAGACUUGUUAAACUGCUCCAUGUGACAUAGGCAGGAUCCGACUUUAGUGACUUAAGUAUGUUGCUUUGUAAAUAUUCUAGUAGAUGAAGCUAAUAGACUAUGCUUUGCUGUAAAUAUUUAAGUCGAAUUUUAUAUAAAUAUGCUGAGUAUGUUUUAAACA